AUUACUUCUCAGUCUUUUGGCUAAGAUCAAGUGUAAUAUCUAUUCUUAUCAGAAUGAGAUCUGAUAUGUCUGAUGAAGAAAGGGACAGUAAGUUAAGCCAGGAAGGUCUAAAGUGGCCUACAAAGUAGUACUUUCAAGCCUUUGGGUGAGAAACACUGCAUAAACAGAAUUGCUGAAAAUACUCAUAAGAG